rnacentral:SRP_RNA from 1 species
CCUGCAGGCCUCAGAACUCUGAGCAGGACUUCU